ACAACCAAUAUCAAUGGAUCUCUAGACUCUAACUACGAUGAAAAACGCAGCAAAAUGCGAAACAUAAUAUGAAUCGCAAGACACUA
rnacentral:rRNA from 1 species